UGGUGUAUAGCUCAGUAGUAGAGCAUUCGACUGCAGGUCGAGAGGUCCCCGGUUCAAAUCCGGGUACUCCCA